AUCCAGCUGACGAGUCCGAAAUAAGACGAAAUGCGCGUCAAACUGAAU
rfam:Schistosoma mattheei strain Denwood, Zambia genome assembly, scaffold: SMTD_scaffold0000002